UUGAUCCAUGGCUCAGAUUGAACGCUGGCGGCAGGCCUAACACAUGCAAGUCGAGCGGCAGCACGGGUACUUGUACCUUGGUGGCGAGCGGCGGACGGGUGAGUAAUGCCUAGGAAUCUGCCUGGUAGUGGGGGAUAACGCUCGGAAACGGACGCUAAUACCGCAUACGUCCUACGGGAGAAAGCAGGGGACCUUCGGGCCUUGCGCUAUCAGAUGAGCCUAGGUCGGAUUAGCUAGUUGGUGAGGUAAUGGCUCACCAAGGCGACGAUCCGUAACUGGUCUGAGAGGAUGAUCAGUCACACUGGAACUGAGACACGGUCCAGACUCCUACGGGAGGCAGCAGUGGGGAAUAUUGGACAAUGGGCGAAAGCCUGAUCCAGCCAUGCCGCGUGUGUGAAGAAGGUCUUCGGAUUGUAAAGCACUUUAAGUUGGGAGGAAGGGCAGUUACCUAAUACG
rnacentral:rRNA from 1 species